rnacentral:tRNA from 1 species
CGGGACGUGGCGCAGCCUGGUAGCGCGCUGGCAUGGGGGGCCAGAGGUCACCGGUUCGAUUCCGGUCGUCCCGACCA